UACGGAGGAUGCGAGCGUUAUCCGGAUUUAUUGGGUUUAAAGGGUGCGUAGGCGGUUUUUUAAGUUAGUGGUUAAACGUCGGGGCUUCACCUUGAUUUGCCACUAAUACUGUAAGACUCGAGUUCAGACGAGGUAGGCGGAAUAAGUUAAGUAGCGGUGAAAUGCUUAGAUAUAACUUAGAACUCCGAUAGCGAAGGCAGCUUACCAGACUGCGACUGACGCUGAAGCACGAGAGCGUGGGUAGCGAACAGG
rnacentral:rRNA from 1 species